ACCAGGGUGGAUGCCUCACAAAAAUACUGGCAUACAUCAUGACCAGCGCAGUUGGCCCUGAGUAAACUCCUCCCUGGAAGGCAUUUGCAGUCAGGCUGCUCUGGCUGAAAGUAACAUGAGCUGAGCUCAAACAUUUUAAAAAAUUUUUCUUAGUAACAUUAUUUGAACAAAAUAAAAACCUGUCCCAGCAGUUCUCUCUACCAGGCACUUGGCAGACGUCCCACAAGGUUCUCAGAAACUUGGGCCGGGCCCCAGCUCAUCCCAAGGAAUCUUUGGGCUCAGCUGCCUGUCUUAGGGAAUGCUUGCCUUGCCAUCAUGUGAAUUCAGGACAAAAACUGUUGGGAUUUAGAACAGCCUGGGUUCCAAUCUGCUGGGCUUACGAAAAAGAAAAAGCUGGGGAGAAGACAGAGGAAUGCUUUGGCUCAUGCAACAGAAAAGUCUGGAGGCAACCGGUGCAGGAUUUGUUGUCUUGCCGCUUUGAAGAAUGAAGAGGUGGAUACAAAAUGAGCAGCAGGCAAAAGUUUAUUAGAGUAUAAGAUCAGAAAGGAAGAAGAGUAGGAAAGGUCCCUUUACAGAGAAUAUUGGAAAGUGAAUGCCAGAGGACUACAGGAGCUUGAGCUUCUUGGAACCAUCCUUGAGCUUCUCAGGAACCUGUGCCUGGGAAAAGGAUCAUAUGAUACUGCACUCUGGGGACCACUUCUCAGGAUGGGGGCAGAUGAGAGACUGGUAGGAUGAGAAACUGAAACUGGGUUGGGUACUGCAAGAGUCCUAGCCCAUAUUCUUUCCCAUUCAUCUGUGAAGUAUGUUUGGCCAAGAGAAAUCAGCACCUGGAAGAUGAAGCAACAUCAGGCCAGGGUACCUUACAGUAUACUCUUCAAGAAGGCAUCUCAAUUUAGAGGCUUUGUGCCAGCUGCAAAUCCUAUAGGGAAUACCCAAGCACAACUUUUCCAUUGAGAGGUGAGAAUGGCCACGCCACCUCUCACUGGGAAUGUGUCUGGUUCAGCUUCCUAGUACCUCAAGAUCCAUUCCCCGGAUGCUAAGGACUGUGGGAAUGGAGAGGAUUUCAUAAAAAAGAAACUCCAAAGGAAAAGUUACAUUGAAAUGCUGUGUGUCUGACACAGAGCCAGGCACAUAGUGAGCCCUUGACUAAUAUGUAUUUAAUCAACUGAAAAUACCCCCUGGUGGAGAAAGAAAUAGAAAGGAAGAGAGAGAGAGAGAGAGAGAGAGAGAGAGAGAGAGAGAGAGAAAGAGAGAGAGAAAUAGAG